AUAGCGUAUAUUAAAGUUGUUGCAGUUAAAAAGCUCGUAGUUGAAUUUUGGACCUGGCUGGGUGGUCUUGCCGCAAGGUAAGCACUGCUCUGGUCGGGUCUUUCUUUCUGGAACUCCUGCGUGCUCUUAACUGAGUGCGCAGGGUGAUCCAGGACUUUUACUUUGAAAAAAUUAGAGUGUUUAAAGCAGGCUUACGCUUGAAUACAUUAGCAUGGAAUAAUAGAAUAGGACUUUGGUUCUAUUUUGUUGGUUUCUAGGACCGAAGUAAUGAUUAAUAGGGAUAGUUGGGGGCAUUAGUAUUUAAUUGUCAGAGGUGAAAUUCUUGGAUUUAUGAAAGACUAACUUCUG
rnacentral:rRNA from 1 species